rnacentral:snRNA from 1 species
AUCGCUUCUCGGCCUUUUGGCUAAGAUCAAGUGUAGUAUCUGUUCUUAUCAGUUUAAUAUCUGAUACGUCCUCUAUCCGAGGACAAUAUAUUAAAUGGAUUUUUGGAACUAGGAGUUGGAAUAGGAGCUUGCUCCGUCACUGGUAUUGCAGUACCUCCAGGAACGGUGCACCCCCU